rnacentral:tRNA from 1 species
AGAGCCUUAGGUUAAUGAAAACCGAGAACUUUCAAAGUUUUAGAUAGGUGCGGGGCUGCCUAGGUUCUG